UCGGAUAUGGUGUAACGGCUAACAUUGCCGCCUCUCAUGCGGGUGCAAACAAUUGGGCGCGGCAGCUCGGGGUUCGAUUCCCCGUAUCCGAA